CGGGUAGCUCCUCCGAAGAUGAAACCGAGGACAAAGCUGCUGCAGCCACUGCAGUGAGAAGGGGAAAAUUAGCCCGACAGGCCAUGAGCACCCGACAAAACGAAUCUAAAAAGAAGCACCCUUUUCCCUCGUAGAGCUGCAGCAAUGGAAAGCUUCAGUUGGACUAUAAUAGAGACAAUCCAGAGAAGAGACUACACGAAUAUACACAAGUCUGGACCUCAAAGCACCUGCAAGAGAGACCCACGUAGCUUAUUUGUUUAUAGGCCAAUCUCCAGGUGACAUAAAGAAAAAGCUGCCAAAGAUGGAUGAGACACAUGACAUAGGACUAAGUGAGUAUAGAGUUUCAAACGAGAAAACGCAGGUUGCCAGGGAAACGGUAGCCUACUUGGGGCUAGAAAUCUUCUGUGGACAUCAACAACUCAGCAGAGACCAGAAAGAAGCCAUCCGUCAUCUUCCAGAGCCCCACACUGUGAGAGAAAUGCAAGCCUUCCUGGGAAUGGUAGAUUGGAACCUC